rnacentral:rRNA from 1 species
UACGGAGGGUGCGAGCGUUGUCCGGAAUCAUUGGGCGUAAAGAGCUCGUAGGCGGUUCGGCAAGUCGGAUGUGAAAUCUCCACGCUUAACGUGGAGGGGCCAUUCGAAACUGCUGUGACUCGAGUCCGGUAGGGGAGUGUGGAAUUCCCGGUGUAGCGGUGAAAUGCGUAGAGAUCGGGAAGAACAUCGGUGGCGAAAGCGCUCUACUGGACCGCAACUGACACUCAGGGACGAAAGCUAGGGGAGCGAAUGGG